UACGUAGGGUGCGAGCGUUAAUCGGAAUUACUGGGCGUAAAGCGUGCGUAGGCGGUUCGUUAAGUUCGUUGUGAAAGCCCCGGGCUCAACCUGGGAAUGGCAAUGGAAACUGGCGGGCUGGAGUAUGGCAGAGGGGGGUGGAAUUCCGCGUGAAGCAGUGAAAUGCGUAGAGAUGCGGAGGAACACCGAUGGCGAAGGCAGCCCCCUGGGCCAAUACUGACGCUCAGGCACGAAAGCGUGGGGAGCAAACAGG
rnacentral:rRNA from 1 species